rnacentral:lncRNA from 1 species
UCACUCGUCAAUUUGUGCGCCACCAGUCGUGAUUCUAAUCAUCUGAACUUUAGCGUUCGAUGAAUCCAGACGUACAGACAACUCGUUCUUCCCUAAUUCCCCAAUUACUCGUAACAGGUAAUUCAUUCUUUCGUCAGACGUACGUCCCAUCACUUCCCUGAUUGUAGUGCAUGACACCAAUCAUCUAGGUUACCUUCUUCCCUGAUUUCGUCAAGUUGCCUUCUUAGUUUCUUUCCCUCUCCCUUUGUAUGUUUCAAAUACUUAUAAUGUUGUUUCUUCAUUACGACUCUUAAUGCACUAAACAUUAGCUAUACAAU